AGCGAACGCUGGCGGCAGGCCUAACACAUGCAAGUCGAACGAACUCUUCGGAGUUAGUGGCGGACGGGUGAGUAACACGUGGGAACGUGCCUUUAGGUUCGGAAUAACUCAGGGAAACUUGUGCUAAUACCGAAUGUGCCCUUCGGGGGAAAGAUUUAUCGCCUUUAGAGCGGCCCGCGUCUGAUUAGCUAGUUGGUGAGGUAAGGCUCACCAAGGCGACGAUCAGUAGCUGGUCUGAGAGGAUGAUCAGCCACAUUGGGACUGAGACACGGCCCAAACUCCUACGGGAGGCAGCAGUGGGGAAUCUUGCGCAAUGGGCGAAAGCCUGACGCAGCCAUGCCGCGUGAAUGAUGAAGGUCUUAGGAUUGUAAAAUUCUUUCACCGGGGACGAUAAUGACGGUACCCGGAGAAGAAGCCCCGGCUAACUUCGUG
rnacentral:rRNA from 1 species